rnacentral:rRNA from 1 species
UACGGGGGGGGCAAGCGUUGUUCGGAAUUACUGGGCGUAAAGGGCGCGUAGGCGGUUCGCUAAGUUGGAUGUGAAAACUCUGGGCUCAACCCAGAGCCUGCAUCCAAAACUGGCGGGCUAGAGUUCUGGAGGGGGUAGCGGAAUUCCUGGUGUAGCGGUGAAAUGCGCAGAUAUCAGGAGGAACACCGGUGGCGAAGGCGGGUCUCUGGGCCGAUACUGACGCUGAGGAGCGAAAGCGUGGGGAGCGAACAGG